rnacentral:lncRNA from 10 species
CCCCGCCCCCGCCCCCGCCACCUCCCCCGCCGUCGCCCAAUUCCCCCAGCCCCCACCCUCGGCUGCUGCCCGAGCUUCCUCCACGCGCCGUGCAGUCUCCACGGCGACGCUGCGUUCCCGACUCGGAGCCCCCAGCUCCGCGCGAGCAGCUAGCCGGGCUGGCUCUCGCCCGGUGUGCAGUCUGACCCAGCCCCCACAGCAGACCACCCCCAGACCGGGCGCCCGAGUCUGCGGACCGCUCUACCGCACCUGGUUCUGGCUCUGGGCCCCGGGCCCCGUGGCUGCCAGGGGCCGCCGGGAAGGGAGGAUGCGCGCCACUGGGGUGCGCCUGGCUUGCGGCACCCUCCUCCCGCAGUGGUCGGAAGAGGACUUCUGUAGACAAGACAGAUACUGUAAAGACAGCAAAGAACAAACAGAAUGGCAGAUUGCUAAUGUUUGAUCCAAACGAAAAAGUGAUGAUUGAAUCAAACGAAGCAAUGUCAGAGUAAGAAGAUGUCUUUGAUUGUGCAGCUGAUCUCUCCCAUGCCUUUUAAGCAAUUAGAACUAGAUAAUGCAGCCAUUUGUCACCCAAUUAAAUUUGAAAGGCCAGAAAUGCAUGGAUUAGCACUUCAGCUUUUGCUGCAGUCAAAGCAAUUGUUACUAUAGAUAGAAGGACAGUUAAAAUGAAAAAUGAAUUUUGAUAAAAAUGCAGAAGUAUAGAUAAUAUUCACUUCUACUUUUUAAUGCUUAAACACCCUGUAUUCUGUAUUUUACUUGUAUCAUAAUUUUCAUUGCUCAUUCCUAUUUCCCUUUGAUACUUAUUUCUUUCACAAUAUUUCUUCAAGUGAAUAUGUACUUUAAAAUUAACAAAUUAUUUACUAUAACAUGAAUUGUUACUACUCAAUAAAGAAAGUAAUCACCUCAACUAGUUGAAGAAACUGGUGUUAAAAAAAUUGUAUUCUUUCCAGCCUUUUGGCUAAGAUCAAGUGUAAAAAAAUCACAGUACAAUAUCAAUUUAGUAGCUAAAUUUUAAAUAUCUUCUCUGUUCAAGGCUCUGAUUCUGAUAAUCUAUUAAAGCCCUUCCUGUAGUCAUCUCCUACUUUCUGAAAAAAAAAUCUCUAUUUAUUCUAUGAAAAAUUACAGCUUGAAAGUUGAUCAUAAACACAUUUGUGGGGAUUACUGACAAAUUAGUAGGUACUAUUCUGGUGGGAUUCUUCUAUUCAAAUUCAUACUGUUUUUGUUUAUUCUAAAUAUUGACUGGGAAAAAUUCUACCCUAGACAACAUAUAUUUAAAUUUUCAUAUUGUCAAAACGAAAAAUGUCCACCUUGGCUUUUGUUGUAAAUUAUAUGUAUAUUACAUAUUAUAUAAUACAUGUUUUUAUAUUAAAGAGAAAGUAAUGUAUAGCAAA